GUAGGUGGCAAGCGUUGUCCGGAAUUAUUGGGCGUAAAGCGCGCGCAGGCGGUUCUUUAAGUCUGAUGUGAAAGCCCACGGCUCAACCGUGGAGGGUCAUUGGAAACUGGAGAACUUGAGUACAGAAGAGGAAAGCGGAAUUCCACGUGUAGCGGUGAAAUGCGUAGAGAUGUGGAGGAACACCAGUGGCGAAGGCGGCUUUCUGGUCUGUAACUGACGCUGAGGCGCGAAAGCGUGGGGGAGCAAACAGGAUUAGAUACCCUGGUAGUCCACGCCGUAAACGAUGAGUGCUAAGUGUCAGGGGGUUUUCCGCCCCCCCCCUUAGUGCUGCAGCUAACGCAUUAAGCACUCCCGCCUGGGAGUACGGCCGCAAGGCUG
rnacentral:rRNA from 1 species